rnacentral:rRNA from 1 species
UACGUAGGGACCGAGCGUUGUCCGGAAUUAUUGGGCGUAAAGAGCGUGUAGGCGGCCAACUAAGUCCUGCGUGAAAUCUCGGGGCUCAACCCCGAGCGGUCGUGGGAAACUGGUUGGCUAGAGUGCGGGAGAGGAGAGUGGAAUUCCUGGUGUAGCGGUGAAAUGCGCAGAUAUCGGGAGGAACACCAGUGGCGAAGGCGACUUCCUGGCCUGUUCUUGACGCUGAGGCGCGAAAGCUAGGGUAGCAAACGGG